GAGUUUGAUCAUGGCUCAGAUUGAACGCUGGCGGCAGGCCUAACACAUGCAAGUCGAGCGGAAACGAGUUAUCUGAACCUUCGGGGAACGAUAACGGCGUCGAGCGGCGGACGGGUGAGUAAUGCCUAGGAAAUUGCCCUGAUGUGGGGGAUAACCAUUGGAAACGAUGGCUAAUACCGCAUGAUGCCUACGGGCCAAAGAGGGGACCUUCGGGCCUCUCGCGUCAGGAUAUGCCUAGGUGGGAUUAGCUAGUUGGUGAGGUAAGGGCUCACCAAGGCGACGAUCCCUAGCUGGUCUGAGAGGAUGAUCAGCCACACUGGAACUGAGACACGGUCCAGACUCCUACGGGAGGCAGCAGUGGGGAAUAUUGCACAAUGGGCGCAAGCCUGAUGCAGCCAUGCCGCGUGUGUGAAGAAGGCCUUCGGGUUGUAAAGCACUUUCAGUCGUGAGGAAGGUAGUGUAGUUAAUAGCUGCAUUAUUUGACGUUAGCGACAGAAGAAGCACCGGCUAACUCCGUGCCAGCAGCCGCGGUAAUACGGAGGGUGCGAGCGUUAAUCGGAAUUACUGGGCGUAAAGCGCAUGCAGGUGGUUUGUUAAGUCAGAUGUGAAAGCCCGGGGCUCAACCUCGGAAUUGCAUUUGAAACUGGCAGACUAGAGUACUGUAGAGGGGGGUAGAAUUUCAGGUGUAGCGGUGAAAUGCGUAGAGAUCUGAAGGAAUACCGGUGGCGAAGGCGGCCCCCUGGACAGAUACUGACACUCAGAUGCGAAAGCGUGGGGAGCAAACAGGAUUAGAUACCCUGGUAGUCCACGCCGUAAACGAUGUCUACUUGGAGGUUGUGGCCUUGAGCCGUGGCUUUCGGAGCUAACGCGUUAAGUAGACCGCCUGGGGAGUACGGUCGCAAGAUUAAAACUCAAAUGAAUUGACGGGGGCCCGCACAAGCGGUGGAGCAUGUGGUUUAAUUCGAUGCAACGCGAAGAACCUUACCUACUCUUGACAUCCAGAGAACUUUCCAGAGAUGGAUUGGUGCCUUCGGGAACUCUGUGACAGGUGCUGCAUGGCUGUCGUCAGCUCGUGUUGUGAAAUGUUGGGUUAAGUCCCGCAACGAGCGCAACCCUUAUCCUUGUUUGCCAGCGAGUAAUGUCGGGAACUCCAGGGAGACUGCCGGUGAUAAACCGGAGGAAGGUGGGGACGACGUCAAGUCAUCAUGGCCCUUACGAGUAGGGCUACACACGUGCUACAAUGGCGCAUACAGAGGGCGGCCAACUUGCGAAAGUGAGCGAAUCCCAAAAAGUGCGUCGUAGUCCGGAUUGGAGUCUGCAACUCGACUCCAUGAAGUCGGAAUCGCUAGUAAUCGUGGAUCAGAAUGCCACGGUGAAUACGUUCCCGGGCCUUGUACACACCGCCCGUCACACCAUGGGAGUGGGCUGCAAAAGAAGUAGGUAGUUUAACCUUCGGGGGGACGCUUACCACUUUGUGGUUCAUGACUGGGGUGAAGUCGUAACAAGGUAGCGCUAGGGGAACCUGGCGCUGGAUCACC
rnacentral:rRNA from 1 species